rnacentral:misc_RNA from 1 species
GAUGAAGAACGUAGCGAAAUGCGAUAAGUAAUGUGAAUUGCAGAAUUCAGUGAAUCAUCGAAUCUUUGAACGCACAUUGCGCCCGCCAGCAUUCUGGCGGGCAUGCCUGUUCGAGCGUCAUUUCAACCCUCGAGCCCCCCCGGGGGCCUCGGUGUUGGGGGACGGCACACCAGCCGCCCCCGAAAUGCAGUGGCGACCCCGCCGCAGCCUCCCCUGCGUAGUAGCACACACCUCGCACCGGAGCGCGGAGGCGGUCACGCCGUAAAACGCCCAACUUUCUUAGAGUUGACCUCGGAUCAGGUAGGGUUACCCGCUGAACUUAAGCAUAUCAAUAAGCGGAGGA